GGUUUCGUUUUUUGUACGAACGACGGACGAUUUUAUGUUAUUCUUUCCGACCAUUCCUCGUCCAUCAAUUGGCUUGUUUUUUUCAUGAUCUGCUCACUAGCCGGAGACACGCUUGUACGCUGUGUCGUCGCUCCGCUAUCUUUCGGCUAAUAUCGAGCCAGCUUUUGUUCGCUAUUGCAAUCGUUCGGUUGAACGAGAUUGAAAAUAAGAUUACUGCGACCCAUAAUCAUGCUGUUAGUUACUCAAUUGGCGUUCAGUCAGUCUGAUCGAAUCGGAUUGAAGGCUGCAGGGAAAAAGCAACGUACCACUAUUAGGCCAGCCAGGCCAAGUCAACCAACGACGUUUGCCACUUCUGGCGUCGCGUCUGAGGUUAGCGCAGCGUUAUCCUGAAGAUGGUAUUCACUAGAAGAUGGGGCAGGCAAAACUUAACGUGUGAUCCGAUGACUUUAUUGGUUCGAUCCUAGCGAAAAUGUCAAAAGGAACAAGAUCCGAUCGCUGAGUGGUGGGUGUCAAAGUGGGCUAACAGCAACGAACGGCCUGCACAGGUAGCCUCAUUUGUUGUUCGACUGAAUGGUCCUUUCGAGACGAUGGUCGCUGACGAUCACCGCUUGUAGACUCACUUAGCGGUUAAUGACGAUAACGAUACUAAUCGAGUGAUAUUUAUCUGUGUGUGAUAACAUGACACAAACCUUGUGAUGCUGAUAAGGACAAAAUUGAUAUUUAUUACCUCUUGUAAGAGAUUAAGGCGCACCAAAGUGACAGGAAGAAGGCUGUCUUUCUACUCGUGUUGUAUAUUACAGGUUACCGAAGAUUAGUGGCUUGAUACAGAAUCUGCCUAAAUCUGUGGCGGCUGACAUGGCGAUGCGACUGACACACAGCAGUAAGCACUUCUGUUUGCCUAAAAAGCACCAAAAAAUCAAGAUGUGCCGAUUUACUUUUUACCAAGGUAAUCUAUACUAACCGAAUUGUUCAA